CGCACGGUAAACGAUGGAUGCUCGCUGUUCGGCCUUUACGGCCGUGUGGCCAAGCGAAAGCAUUAAGCAUCCCACCUGGGGAGUACGCCGGCAACGGUGAAACUCAAAGGAAUUGACGGGGGCCCGCACAAGCGGAGGAACAUGUGGUUUAAUUCGAUGAUACGCGAGGAACCUUACCCGGGCUUGAACUGCCAGCGAACGAUUCAGAGAUGGAGAGGUCCUUCGGGACGCUGGUGGAGGUGC
rnacentral:rRNA from 1 species